GACUCCCACCCCCUUGAGGGGUUAAGGCUCCCAGUAGACGACUGGGUUGAUAGGCCGGAUCUGGAAGGCGGGUAACCGCUGGAGGUGACCGGUACUAAUAGGCCGAGGGCUUGUCCUC
rnacentral:rRNA from 1 species